CUUCCAACACCUAAAUCACAUCCCAUAUCUAGCAUAUUAUUAUAAUCAUACUACAAAAUAGCUCAAUCUACGAAGAGGAUAAACCUAGCCUACCUGCAUUCCAAAGCAAAGCCCAAAGAAUUCACUACAUCAUUGAUUUUUUUUUGAGAAGCUUCUGCAAGGUGCCACUCUAUAAAAAUCAUAAUCUACCGAUCAAUAUGAAAACAAUGAUAACCAUAUUACACAAUUAUGCUUUGAGUCCAAAAUUACAUAAAUAUCUCAUAUGGGGCCAGUUUACGAAAUCACACUUUCAAACCCAAUACAACGUCUCUGUAUGCUCAAGGAAUAUUUAACCUCAAAAUGGGUGAAUUCUGAGCUUUAAUGGUGCUAUAAUAAAUUCACCAAUAUUCUAGGGAUUUAAGAAAAAGAUAAAGGAUUUAAUCCUAAAAUAUAUGGAGGCUUACUGUAAAUUCGAAGGAGAAACAUGUAAAUAAACUAUACCAAAGCUCCAAAACCAUCCACAAAUGUUUCUCCCAAGUUUCGACUCUAUUUAGGAUUUUACUCUCUUGAUAAUGGAAGAAGAAUGGUAAAAAUUGAGAUAAGUGGGAGUAUUUAUACCCUUCUUAGGUAUGUGGAUGCCGCUAAAGUGAACACUAAGUCACUUUAGCAAUCGGCACUAAAGAGCCCAGCUGGCCGCUAAAGUGGUUCACCGUUGACAUGACAGGCCGCUAAAGCCGUCAGUUGGCGCUAAAGUGACUAGCGCUUAAGAAGCCAAUUAGUUGCGGCACUUGUUGAAGUGUUCAGAGCCACUAAUGCACCCAAAGGGACUCUAAAACUCCCUCUGCUAAAGAAUAAAAAAUAUUGCUUUAGCGGUUGCACCAAAUUUUCUUGCAUCAGCUGGAGACUUGAAAUAUUUUGAGUCUCUACCAAACCCACGAGAUUCAUCCGGAAUCUCGUAUAUGCAAACGAACUAUGCUACCCUAUUAAAUUUAACGUUCCAGACUCAAUAGCACAACCAAAUUUCCAUACAAGGUUGUUUUGAGGAAAAGUAGGUCCCAUACCCACUUGUCAUUUUUCUUAACUUUCAGGUAAUAGCCCAAAAUAAGUUUGGGGGCCUCGGGACCUGAACCAAGAGUCCGCCUAACCUAAAAUUGAUGUUCGGAGCUGUUGGAACUUUCAAAAUUUCCAUACAAGGUCAUUUGGCUGAAGUUUUUGCCUAAUAGCCAAUUAGAAUCAUCGAAGACUUCUAAAUAGGAAAUUGCUCAAAAAAGCAAACGAACUGUCCGAUAACUGAACUGUCAAUUUCAUCAAGUCAUUAAUGACUUGGGAAGCUAUAGGAAAACUUUAAACAUUGAAAAAAAGCUGAAAUACAAAAAAUAACUUGAAGGGUCAUUACACUAGUCUAUCGACACACGCGUUGCACGUGGGUAUUGAGUCAUAUAGUAUAUGUUAUCAUAUAAUGAUAUCAAUACUAUUGAGGUUAAGUUUUGAAUAAAUAAUUAUACAUAAAAGAAUAAAGUAUUAUUUAUUAGUACGUACAAUUUUUAUUUAGUACCCACGACAGACAGAGAUGGUGCGUGAGAGAAAGAUCAUUGGUGUUGGAAAUUGACGACGUACUAUAAUGCUACAAAAUAAAUAAAAAAACUAAGAAAAAUUAAUUUACAUUGUGAAAUAAAAAUAACAAGAAAGAUAAUCAAAGAAUGGCAACUUCAUAAACAAUAAACUGGGACUUACAAAUGAGUAUAUUAUUUAGUUGUCCAAUGAAUAUAAUAUAUAGGAGUCGAUAUUUAAUUUUACUCCAUCUGUAAUUGAUUAAUCACUUUAAUUGAUGAUAAUUAGGUAGGAUGAAACUAAAUGUCAUACUUGUGAAAUGGCCAAAAAUAUUAAUUUCUAUUAAUGAAACUAUGUCGAUGAAAUAAAUAUUUCUCUCCCAUAUUAAUUAGUGUCUUAAAGAUGUCUCUAUGAUAAGCUUAGGGUAGAGAGAGUCUCUAGGUACGAUUUAGUAAAAAUGCACCGAGGAGAUCCAUGGGGGUGAAAGUAUCAUAACGCAUAAGCCCCAUGUCACAACCCAAAUUACAAGGUUCUGCGAGAAUCUAUUUUAUUUUAACUAGGUAGGAGAAAUCUUUACCACCUAAUCAUUAUUAUAUAGAAUUUCUUGUAUACAAUUCUUUUAUAACUAGUUUAUUAGCACGUGUGUUGCACGUGUGUAUCGAGACAUGUAGUAUAUGUUAUCGUAAAAUGAUAACAAUGUUAUUGAAGUUAAGUUUUGAGUAAAUACUUAUACAUGAAAAAAUAAAGUAUCAGUUUUCGUGAAUAAUUAUAGUUUAGUACAAUAAUUAUUCAGUACCCAUGGUAGAUAGUUGUGGUGGGUGGAGAUAAAGUUAGUUGGUGUUAGAAAUGGAGGGCAGUACUAUAGUCCUCCAAGCAAUAUAAAAAUUGAGAUCAACUUAUCUUACAUUGUGAAAUCAAAAUAACAAGAGAGAUAUUCAAAGAACGAUGACUUCACUGACAAUCAACUAGAAUUACAAAUGAGUAUAUGAUUUAGUUGUCCAAUGAAUCUUAGUUGGAGUAGUCAAUAUUUAAUUUUACUCCACCAGUAAUUAAUUUUUCAAGACUUAAUCACUUCAAUUGAAGAUAAUUUUAUUCCUCCUCAUUUUUAAAAUGAUGCCAAUUAUCUUGAGUGAGGAGCUUUGGGGUAAUUCGACUUGUAUCAUGUUUGUUAUCUUGAUCCAUUUUGACCUGUCCAAAUUUGAUCUGACCUGCCCAAUUUCUACCCCUUAUUCAAACUACGAGAGUCAAACUAGCUAAUGUUUGGUGUGAAUUUUGAAAUGGAAUUUCUAAUUUUCUUGAAAUAAAAUACAUAUUUAGAAUCUAAAUAAAAAGUGUUUUAAGUCACAAUAAUUAACAAUUCAAAAUAUUUAGAGGAUAUUUGAAGAAAUAAUAGUCAAAGAGAAUAUCUUUUGACUAUCUAAAAUAACUAAAACAAAUAAGUUGAAACGAAUUGAGCACUUAUAAAUAAUAAAGUAAAUAAUAACACAGGAUGUUGAAUAAGAAACAUGAUAUUUGUAUUCAAAUUUGAAGAGUUGUACCAAGAAGUAUGGCUUAUUGAUAUUUAAAAUUGACAAAAAGAAGUUCAACACUUUUGUACCUACCUAUGAAAUUGGAAGGACUAAAACAAUAUAACUUCAACUGCAAUCUAAUAUUCGUCAAUUGUUCAAAUCAAUCACCACUUUGUCCUUGUUACCAACUUCAAGUUUUCUCUCAACUUUAACUGGUAUAGACAAAAUUAAUUAAUAUACACAUAUGACACAAAUGUUUUAGGGGGUUGGGGGCUUAUAAAUCUAUGAAAAAAAUUUACAAAAAGUUUGGAUUUGCCUUAAGCAUACACAAAUGGGGUCCAUUGGUAGACCUUUGGCAGUAAAUUUUAGAUCAUAAAAUUGAUUGCCAAUAAGGCUACGUUUCAAACCAACAAUUAUUAUUAGUAUCUCCACAACUGAUUAAUUUUUUUAUGGUUUACAAUUUUAAUUUCUUUAUAAUUUUUUUUUAAUUUUCACAAUUUGACACAUGAUUGUAAUAAAUUAUUUACGUAAGCUUUGGAUAUACCCAAAGGGUUUUGUUAAAAAAAUAACAAAAUCAAUAUUAACUUUUUGAAAAUAUAUUUAAAAAUCUUUACCUAAAGGAGGAAUAUUGUUUGGUCAACCAUGGAUGCUCUCUGUUUGGCUGACUAUCUUCUUACUUAACAACUUCUCUCUAUAGUAAUUUCAUUAAUGUUGAUUCUUGCUUAACAACUUCUCUGUAUAGUAAUUUCAUUAAUGUUAAAAGUAACAAAUUAUUUUAUUGAUUAAAGUUGGUUACAUAUAGAAAUGUCUUGUAUGUUUUUUUUAGAAAAAUAGACUAGUUAAUAUAUUAAAUAAAUUACGAAUGAAAUAUUCACUUGAACAAGAAGAUGAAUGAUGCAGUAUAGGCAUUCUACCACGAGGAUAGCUAGCCUACAUUUAUUUAUAUAAGAAAAUGAUUUAUAAUUAGUAUUCCAUGAUAAAAUAAAGUUUAAAUAAUAAUGAGAAAAUGUACAAUUUUCAUCUUGAACUAUCAACGAAAUCGCUCAGAUACACUCCAACUUAAAGGGGGUUGUAUUACCCUCGUGGACUAAUUAAAAUCAUAUUUUUAGAAACCUUAAGGCCUAUGUGGUACAUACGUGGCACACUGCGUGAAUCAACAUACUGAAGGUCCACGUAGGCAAACGUAUGUACCACGUAGGCACUUAAGGCUGCUAAAAAUAUGGUUUCAAUUAGUCCGUGGAUAAUAGAAACUCCUUUAAAUUGAACUGUGUCUCAACAAUUUUAUUUGUAGUUCAGGUGGAAACAGUGCAUUUACUCAAUAAUAAUUAAAAAACUAAAUAAAUGAUGAUGAUGACAACAAAUCUUCCGCCACUUACCCUUGACUUCUUGCAUAUUGAAAUUUCAAGUGCUGGAGGAAUAAAAUUUCCUUUGAAGUUGGUCUUUUUUUUCUCUAUACCAAAACAAAUAAUACCAUGAGAUAUAAGAUUGAAUUACAUGUUAAAAAAAUAAUUAUGAUCUUCAAUACACGCAUAUCUAGUGGAAAUUAUUUAAUUAGAUUGUAAAUAGGCAUAUUCGAGAAAAAGAUGAAGGAUAAUUUAUUUAAUAAUAAAUGUAAGUAAAAAGGUUCCACAUGUAUAUAAUUGAAAGUAAAAUAUUUAUUCCUAAUUUUUCCCACUAGCUUUUGCUUUGAUGAUGUUCAUUCGAUUGACAACUAAUACAUACAUACAUAUAUGUAGACAUCUAAUUCUGUCUCUUCCGAAUACCCAAGUUACACAUUUUUAUCUCUGUCUUACCACGUGUCCUCACCCGUAUGAUUAUAUCCCAUAAAAAUACAAAAAUAAUAAACCCACUAACAAACCUAAUCCCCAAUUAUUCUUUGAUAACAAAAUUAACCAUCCUCCUAUCAAUUUUGGAUAACACAUCACUACCCCAUGCCCCAUACCCUACCCCACCUACCCUAUCCCAAUACCCACCCUCACAGCCUAUAUACACGCACACAUACUCUCAGAAAAAAAUAUACAGAGACCAUUUUUUACAAAAAAAAAAAAAAAAAAAAAAAAAAACUUCAUCUUCUUCGGGACUAAUAUGCACAUAGAAACACACAACCCAAAAACUUCCAUUCACAACCAUAUGCGCACACCCAGGCUAUACAUACGGUAGAAUAAGCAAGAAAACAAGGAGAUCUUCUACAAUUUUACACACACAGAGACACGGAAAGAGGGGAGAAAUGAAGAGAGGGGGAGAAUAGAGAGUUGAUAGGAGAGAUGUUAAACAGAAAGCCGGCUGGGUGUUGAGUUUUCCGGCAAUUUAUUCGCCGGAAUCGUCCAUGCCUUCGCUAGACGCAGUCCGAAUCGAUCCAAAAUCGACCCUUCCAUCGAUAAAGAAACAGAAUCUGCAAACUAGAAACCGAAAUAGUCCUUUAAGCUAAUUCUGGCAGGCUUUCGCUGGAAAUCACGUGGUCUUUGUUUUUUAGUUUUUGUAGUUGCUGUCUUGGGUUACUCGUUUGUUUUUCGUGGAUUUCGGUUUGGAUUGGAUUUCGAAUUUUUCGUGGUUGAGAUGUUGAGUUGGCUCAUGGUUGAGGUUCAAUUCGGGAUAUUCUGGUGGUAGCUUCAUCGAACAACUUGGGAUUGAAAUAUAAUCGAGGUCCAUUUCUCCAUCUCAUCCUCUAUUCUCAUUUUGAAUUUUUACUGUUGUUAUCUUGAAUUUAAUUAUUUUUAUGGGUGUGAAUGAUUCGGGUGCUUGACGUGUUCGAAUAUUUAUUGUGCGUAUGUAUUUGGUGUUGGUUUCGACUUUUGAAAAGUUUGAAUUGAUAAUUGAAUAAACUUAGAUAUGAAUGAUUGAAUGUUCCAUUGUUAAAAUUGGUUAUUUGGAGGUGAAAAUCGAAAUUGAUAAAAAAACAAAAGUUAGUUAUUCUUGAUUCACUGAUGUCGUUGAAUGUGAUGUGUCGUCGAGCGGACAGACCAACAUUAGGCCGGGUAGGCAAAUUUAGAAUUUAGAAUUGAGGAUUAUUGGAAUGUUUGAAAUAUUGGUUGAAUGUCUUGUUUAUCGUAUUUGAAAAGUGUAUUCAUUUAAUCGGGGAAUGCCCCGAGGUAAUUUGUAUUUACUCACCGGGGAAUGCUGCGAAGAAUUUUGUACGCAAGU
rnacentral:lncRNA from 1 species